UGCUCCUGCCUCCAGCAACGUAUUUCACCGUGAAGAAAUUUGCCUGUGAAGGGAGAAACCAGAGAUGUCAAUACUGAUGAACUGGGCAGAGUUAAGGUCGACAGAUCAAGCUGUGAGGAAGAGUCAUUGAACGCCAAUAGAGGGAAAGCGAGAGAUGACUCAGCCAGAUUCUGAGUUAUGCAGCACAUGAGAUGGCAUUUGCAUGGAUUGCUUGAGCUGCCUCUCCCCUGCGAGGAUUUGUAUUUGGGGGGCAGGAUCCUGGGACAAGGGGCUGGACAUUUCCAGAGGGGCUCAGGAUGCCUCAUUCCCAGCUGGCGAUUCUCCUGUCCUCCAGUGACUCUGGGCUUUGGCUCUCCUGGGGGAUGUGCAC